UCAUUAGAAUCGUUUUGCUUUAUUUGUUCUGUAUCACUGAAAAGCAAGUGAGAAAUUCAAAGCAUGUUGAAAAUGUGAAGGUAUUAGCGUGCUUUAUGAGGGCGAGCGGCUGAUAUAAAGCCCACUACCACUCUAUUAAAAAACAGAGACCUGUGCCAUUUGUGAAAAUAGAGGUCAUAUAUGCUGAGGUCAUGUGAUAGCUAUAAAAUCAAACUUUUUUAAUAACUAGCCGUAUAUCACCCCCCUGCCUCCGUCAUUGUGAAUGUUAAAUCAUGGGGCCGGUUUAGCAAUGUAUCCAAAAGACAUGUGUUAUCGGGCGGGGAAGAAAAAAAAAAGAUCUAAAAGAAUGAGCACAUUUCUUUGUUAUCACCGUCUCACUUUCUUUGUUGUCUUUUUCUCCUUCUUUUAAAGGUACGUCUGGGAACCUACUCUUACCCCUCCCCUGUACCCUCCGGUAGUAUUUUUAGCCCUCAUUUGUUUGAGCGUUUUUUAAUCUGAGGACAUUGAAAAGUUGUGCCCUCCAUGAAGUCGUCAAUCACGCCGGAGGGAGAAGCGCAGGGCAUGAUUUGUUAUCUGCUAUUUCUCUCGCUGUAUAGAGAGAGGUAAAGGGAGAUAGGGGGAGAGAGAGAGAGAGAGAGAGAGAAGCGCACAGUGGCAUGUCUGUCCUUAAGGCCAUCACUUACACAGGACCACUGUCUGUCAAAAAGCAGCGGCAACUUUAAGGGCCGCCUUUGUUGGCUCGGACAAAUGAGGGUGACCUUUAACAAUAAAAUAGACACCUACAGAGAGAAAUGAAACGGCAGUUUAAAUUAAGAGCACCAAGCGGUCAUUUCAAACACUUCCUGUUGAACCGUGUGAGAGGGAGGGGAAGAGGAAAAAAAACAGUCUGAAGUUUUGAAGUUGAACUUAAUUAUACAACACAAUGUGGGCAGCACUUGUCAAUAAUGAAAUCUACCUGGUCAGGGAUAUUGACGAACAGCGUGGAAUAAAACUUAAUGUGGCCUGAAGCGUUCCAGAGAGCCAUCAAUUAUGAAUGCUAUCGACUGAGCAUGUCACAUAAAAAAAAAAAAAAGAGACGAGAAAGAGAGGUAGAGAGGUAGGCGCGAGGCAGGGAUACAGAGCGAGACGUGUGAGGAGCGAUUACAGUAUUUGUUUGAUCCCGACUCUACAGAAAAGCUCUGGAGGCAGUCGCUUUGUUCCCGGCGAACUAGUCGAGCAUAACCGCGUCGAAAAACUCGACUCGUAUCGACGGGACAGUGAGAAGAGAUUUCUGUCGCUCUGAGAAUUCAAAGCCAGCGGUGCGGUACUUUCGAAAGACUCAAGAGCGAACAGAGAUGAGUGACGCCUG
ensembl:lncRNA